AUGACGGUUGACAAGGAAAAACAUGAUGCUAAGAAAAUCACAGACGACUCAAAUGAGGAUGGAGCAGAAACUGAACAAAAGGGCACAAUGGAGAAAGGGGGCAAAGAUAGUGAUUCCGUCAACAAAGCCAUCGAAGACAUGUACAACGUUGUAUACAAGCCAUGGACACAGAGAGAAAUGGAUGAGCUUUUCAUUACAACGGACAAGUUUGAUGUCAAUCUAGGCCAUAUCGCCGAAAGCUUCAAGGUCGGUAAAUCAGUACGCACCGAAGCAAUCGAGCCCAUGCUAACAAUCUUGAGAAGACAACUCAAUGGCACAGGGAGAAAGAUUCUGUCGUUAAGCAACACAAUAAUUCCUUCUACCAUGUUCGUUUCGCGGGUUUGA
rnacentral:rRNA from 1 species